rnacentral:rRNA from 1 species
UUGGCUUAGAAGCAGCCACCCUUUAAAGAGUGCGUAACAGCUCACUAGUCGAGUGUUUCUGCGCCGAAGAUUUAACGGGGCUUAAGCUUGGUACCGAAGCUGCGGGGUUGGUAGAUAGAAUAGACACUCAGAUCCAUGGUACGGCUUUCGUCGACCCGGCUUGCCGGGACGGGGACUGUCGGCCCGGAUCAUAGAGACCUAUUCAUCACAUCCGCCAAUUGGUAGGGGAGCGUUCCGUAGUAGGACGAAGGCAGACCGUGAGGACUGCUUGACGAAUCGGAAGUGAGAAUGCCGGUAUGAGUAGCGAAAAGUAGAGUGAGAAUCUCUACCGCCAAAAGCCCAAGGUUUCUUAAGCAAGGCUCGUCCGCUUAAGGUUAGUCGGGCCUAAGCCGAGGACGAAAGUCGUAGGCGAUGGACAUCCGGUCAAAAUUCCGGAACCAUUAACAGACGCUUGACCGAUGGGAGGACGCAGAAGGGCAGGUGUACCGCGUGAUUGGUAGAGCGCGGCUAAACCCGUAGGUAGUCGGGAUAGGAAAAUCCGUCCCGAUGAUGAUCCGAGAGGUGACAGCGAGCUGGCAUAACGCUGGCGAAGACACUGACCCCAUGCUGCCUGGAAAAUUCCCUAGGAAGUCUGUUGAUGACCGUACCGCAAACCGACACAGGUGGGCAGGGAGAGAAUCCUAAGGCGCGCGAGAGAACCCUCGUUAAGGAACUCGGCAAAUUUACCCCGUAACUUUGGAAUAAGGGGUGCCCUUUUGUGUGAUGCGAUUCACUCGCUGAGCACUGAGGGGCCGCAGAGAAUCGGCUGGGGCGACUGUUUACCAAAAACACAGGUCUCUGCUAAAGCGUAAGCUGAAGUAUAGGGGCUGACGCCUGUCCGGUGCCAUACGGUUAAGGGGAAGGGUUAGGCCUUCGGGCCAACGCUCUGAACCGAAGCCUUGGUGAACGACGGCUGUAACUAUAACGGUCCUAUGGUAGCGAAAUUCCUCGUCGGAUAAUACCCGACCUGCAUGAAAGGCGUAACGAUCUCAGCACUGUCUCAACGAGGGACUCGGCGAAAUUGUAGUACCAGUGAAGAUGCUGGUUACCCGCGACAAGACGGGAAGACCCCGUGGAGCUUUACUGUAACCUGGUAUUGGAUUUCGCUGUGCUGUGUAGAGAAUAGGUGGGAGGCUAUGAAACAACCUCGCCAGGGGUUGCGGAGCCAAUCUUGGAAUACCACCCAUAGCACGGUCGAGGUUCUAACCAUAGACCGUGAUCCGGCUAUGGAACAGUAUCAGGCUGGCAGUUUGACUGGGGCGGUCACCUCCUAAAAGGUACCGGAGGUGUUCAAAGGUUCCCUCAGCGCGGUCAGAAAUCGCGCAUAGAGUGCAAACGCAUAAGGGAGCUUAACUGUGAGACCUACACGUCGAACAGAUGCGAAAGCAGGAGUUAGUGACCCCGCGAUCCCGAGUGGAAGGGUCGUCGAUUAUCGGAUAAAAGUUACCCCGGGGAUAACAGGCUAAUUGCGCCCGCGCGUUCACAGCGACGGCGCAGUUUGGCACCUCGAUGUCGGCUCGCCACAUCCUGGGGCUGGAUUAGGUCCCAAGGGUUGGGCUGCUCGCCCAUUAAAGUGGUACGCGAGCUGGGUUCAGAACGUCGUGAGACAGUUCGGUCCCUAUCUGCCGUGGGCGUUGGAAACUUGAGAGGAGCUGUCCCCAGUACGAGAGGACCGGGAUGGACGCACCUAUAGUGUACCUGUUAUCACGCCAGUGGUAUAAGCAGGGUAGCCACGUGCGGCAGGGAUAAGCGCUGAAAGCAUCUAAGCGCGAAGCCCCCCUCAAGACUAGGUUUCCUCGAUCCUUUGAGAUGUAAGGCCCCUGGAAGACUACCAGGUUGAUAGGCUGGAGGUGUAAGCGUGGCAACACGUUGAGCUAACCAGUACUAAUAGGCCGAGCGCUUGAUCU